AUCUAUUGUAGCUCCUGCUAGACUUUACAAAGCUCUAGUUACAGAUUCUGAUAACCUUAUCCCAAAGGUUAUUGAUGCCAUCCAAAGUAUUGAAAUUGUUGAAGGAAACGGUGGCGCCGGAACCAUCAAAAAACUUACUUUCGUUGAAGGUUAGUAUAUAUGUGUGAAAAAUUGUAGUGGCAAGAAACUUUUUUUAACCCUAUGUAAAGAAAAUGUUUAAAAACUAAAUUGGUUUGAGAACAUGUUUUCUAUUUUUAAUUACAAAAUUAAGUGUUAGAAGAAGAACAGCUACGCCGACAUGGUCGACAAUUUAACAAAAGUUCCAUAUCACAAUAAAUAUCUACUUAGCAUAUGUUUGAAACUACGAUGAGAUUACUCUCAACACACGACCACCAAAAACUUAUAUCCUUAGCUUCAGGUUUUUUACGGUAAAACAAAAUGGGAAACAAGUAUUAAGAAUUAACCCUUCAAAGAAAGUAUUAAGAAUUAUGAUACAUAACAUAAAUAGUGGAAGUCAACAAAGCAUUUUUGAUGACAUUAUUACUAGUAUUAAUUUUAUUUUUUUUUGAGGGGAAAGUAUUAUUAUAUUAUAUUAUUAUAUGCGUUUAAUGGAGAUCUAAUGUCGGUGUAAAAUUAUUUUACCGUCGGUAAGACCAAAAAUAAAUAAAUUAUUUUACCAUGACAACUAUGACAAUUCACCAUACUACCAAAUAAGCCCAUUUAAAAACAGUUUUUCAAUACUUGACCAGAAAAACUAGUAUUUUUUAAAAGUAACAUCAAAUAUUUGACUUGUUGAUUGUCAAGUGUAUAUCCUCUUUUCUUUUAGUGUUAUGUUAACUUGUAUCCUAAGAGUAUAAGAUAAGAAACUAAAUGUAGAGAUUUAACUUUGAAAUUUGUACAUCAUAAUUUUUUUUAAUGACACAUUGUGCAACAUAAUCUUAAAAUCUUUUUUUUUCUAAAGGAUAAUCUUAAAAUCUUAAAAACUUAUAUUUUCUUUUAUUAUAUAUAUAUUGGAUUAUUUGUUACUGUGUUUUUUAUAUAAUUUUUUUUUUAUGAGAAACAGUAAUUUUUUAAAAUUAUUUUUAAUAGCUUCUUAUACUAAUUUUUAAUAGGCUUAAUUGCACUUUUGGACCGCUAUCUUUNNNNNNNNNNNNNNNNNNNNNNNNNNNNNNNNNNNNNNNNNNNNNNNNNNNNNNNNNNNNNNNNNNNNNNNNNNNNNNNNNNNNNNNNNNNNNNNNNNNNGAUGCCACGUCAGCGUUGACCGAGUCAACAAUGAAUUUGGGGUCCAAAACUGCCAAAGAAUCAAAACAUAAGGGGCUGUUUUGUAUUUAAAUUAGUUAGGGGUCCAUAACCGCAACUUUUGAAAAGAUAGGGGUAUAAAAGUGCAAUUAAGCCUUUUUAAUAACCUAAUUGAACUAAGUGAAUGUCCAUCAUGUUAGUAAUUUGUGAAACGAAUCAAUUAUUAUGAGCAGGUGGUGAAACAAAGUAUGAUUUGCACAAAGUGGACUUAGUAGAUGAUGUUAACUUUGCUUACAACUACAGCAUAGUUGGUGGUGGUGGACUUCCAGACACAGUGGAGAAGAUCUCCUUUGAGUCUAAAUUGUCUGCAGGGCCAGAUGGAGGAUCCAUUGCAAAGCUUACUGUGAAAUACUUCACCAAAGGUGAUGCUGCACCUAGUGAAGAGGAAAUCAAGGGUGGCAAAGCUAGGGGUGAUGGUCUUUUCAAGGCUCUUGAAGGUUACGUUUUGGCAAAUCCUGAUUACUAAAGCAUAUAGCUAAUUGCUUGCUUGCUUUAUACAUGGUGUGUUGUGAUGCAUUUUAUUAUAUCAUGUGGGCUUGAUUUGGUUGCCAAAUGUAAUUUUCUAUUUUCCGUUUGCUGAAGUUUGAGAUUGUAAGUCAUAUGUGUACCUCCCUUCAAGAAAUUAUAAUAAUACUUCAUCUAUUCAUUUUUACUUUUUUUUUAAAAAAAUAAAAAUUGUAUGCAACUAUUUAUAUGUGGCUUUCGAAUUUUAAGGUUAUUGUUAGAACGAAAACUAAUAACUGAAGAUUAAAUAAGAGAACGAAAGAAAAAACAAUGAACAUACAAUAUUUUUUAACACAGUUCAAUCAAUUGUACCUACCUAUGUGACUAUAGAUCAACUAUUGUUCUAUUUCUAUUACUGUGACAAGAAUUAGGGUUUCAUAUUACAAGCUGUAUAUAUGAAUUAUAUGUUAAGAGUCCCACAUCGGUUAGGAGUUGGCCUGACAAUUUAUUUAUAAGUGGGGGGCAAUCCUCACCUCACAAACUGAUUUUGUGGGGUUGUGUUAGGCCUAACCACGAUUUCUAAUUCUAUACUUCAUCAGUUAUACUCAUCAAUCUUUUAGACUCUAAGAUAUCUUGGUUAACCAAAAAAUAAUUGAACAUAAGACAACCCAUUCUCCAUAAAACAAUUCUCACACAAUCUUUCCAUAUCAACAUACACCGUGGCUUCUUAAAAAUAAUAAACCCUAUGAGAAAAGUAAAAAAACGAGGCAAUCUUGAGAACAUAGUGGCCAAAUAUUAGAGGACAAUUGGUAUGAAAUGAAUAAAAAAGGGAAAAAUCUUACAAAUGAAUGAAGGAGUACAAGAGUGUUUAUAUAAUGGAAGCAUGAAAAUAACUAUAACUAGAUCAAAAGAGAAAAGAGUAAAUGUCCUAAAAUGUCCUCUAUCUCUCUUGGUAUGAUUCUUUCUCUUAUCUUCUUCAUUGUGCAAUAUCCUCCCACAAGUUGGAGGUUGGUAGAUAUCCAACAUCCCCAACUUGGAUAGAAGAAGAUUGAAAGGCUGCAGAAGUAGUGACUUGGUGAAGAAGUCUGCAACUUGAUCUUUAGAGGAAAUAGGUAGUAGCUUGAAUAAUCCAGCUUACAUUUUUUCUCUAAUAAUAUGGCAGUCAAUCUCAAGGUGUUUGGUAAUUUGUUCAUGAAAGACUAGAUUAACAGCGAUGUAGAUAGCACUUUGAUUGUCACAGUAAUGAACAUGUGCUUUGGUACAUUGAAUCUCUGAUAAGGUAAAGCAACCAUUGCAAUUAACAACUAGUAGAUGCAAGUGCUCGUUAUUCAGCUUCUAAUGUGAUCUAGAGACUGUAAGUUGUUUCUUUGUUCUCCAAGAAACAAGAGAUUUGCCAAGAAAGAAUCAUUGACCAUAGAUUUACCACUUUCUUACAUGGAAUAAUUUGGUGAAUUUGCCAAAUUUGACAUCACAUCAUCGCGAUAUCUAAAAUUGUAUCGUGCAAUGAAGCGUGUCUUUGGUUUCAUGGUACAUAAAUACAAAAGUGAUUUUAUACACAUAAAAUUAAUUCUAAUAUGUGAUGUCUACCGAAUAUGUUUCUUUAGAAUUGAUUGUAUAAUUUGAAACUUUUAACUCUAAACUACAUUAAAGUUUACUGUUCAACCCAUCUACUAUUAAUUUAAACAUAAAUCAUAUCACAAUCAUCUCAUUUUUAACUAAAAUUAUUUUAACAAAAUCCGGUUGACAAAAUUCUAAUGAUAUCAUGAUCUUACUGAAGAGUCAAAAUUAAGCUUUUGAUCAAUUGCAGUAAUUCAUCGUAAUUUUGACAUAUAUGCUGUUUAUAACUAAAAAAAAAUUAUUGGUAAUGUUAACUUGUGUUCUAAGGGCACAUGUUAAGGAACUCAAAAAUAACAAUUUUACAUUGAAAAACAUAAUAUUUUAACUUUUAAGAAGUUAAAUGCACAACUUUUUGAUACGUACUUCUAUAAUUAGUUCUUUAACAUGUGCCCUUAAGGACAAAAAUUAGCAUUUGUCAUAAAUUAUUUGUAUUAAAUUCAACGUUUUUUCUUCUUCUUCUCUUUCUUCUUUCUAGAAUGGCGCCUUGAAUUGUUCAAAAAAAAAAGAAUGGCGCCUUGAGACUGCAAUAUUUAUAUAGACCGCAAUAUUUUCUCCAAGUUGAAUACUAUGCAAUACUAUAAGACUAGGACUCCCGAAUUUCCUCUUCUUUUUUGGAUAAUAUGAAGCAGAAAGAGUACACAUUUGUUGAAUAUAAUGCCGUAUAAUACGUGGUUCUUUGAAUGCUUCCAACUCAAUUUUUGACCUGUACACAAAAUUCUUCAGACUCACCUUAAAAUAAACCAUCUUGACAGUUUGUUAUUAUUUUUUUAAAGAGCAAAAUACGUCAUCGAAUUAAAGAAUAUUAAUCAAUUAAGUAAUUAAUUUUUUUGGUCUUGAUCAAUUAAUUAAUUAUACCAGCGGUAAACAUAAAAAGACGGAUCUACAGUCACGCGGCAACAAAUCCAAAAAAGUAUGUCAAUGUCAUAUUAUUUGGUAAAUAUUUUAUUUAUCAAUUUCAACUUUCAAGUUAAUAAACUAAGACCUCUCAAAAAAGGUAAUAAACUAAUAAGAAUAUUCUCUCAACAAAAAAUAAAACUAAGAAGAAUAUAUUUUGCUUAUUUACCGAAAAAAUAUUUUGCUUAGUCUAAAGAAGAAGAAUAUACUUUGCUUCAGCAAAAAAUGUAUUUUGUAUGUAUUGUAGUUGAGGUUUAUCAUAAAUUCAUAAUGCUAUUGUAGUUGAUAUGAGACGAAUAGUCCUUUAUCUUUUUUGUCCUUUAUACCAUAAAAGAUUAAAUCGAAAAAAGAAAAAGAUAAAAGACGAAAAUGUUACUUAAUUAUAACAUAAAUUAUUAAAUCAAGAAGAAAUGAUAAAUGACGAAAAUGUUAUCUCAAAUUAAGUCAAGGCACGAAAAAUGUAAUUUUGUCAAUUAUAUAUAUUGCUUAAGUUUUUAUUUAUUUUAGGUCAAAUACCUCUCGGAGUCCUUUAAGUUUCACGUUUGUAACGGAUAAGUUUUUUAAUUUUUUAAAGUUUCAUAUUGGUCCUUUAAGUUAUUGAAAAAUUAUGUCGUUAACCUUUCAGUCAACCUCCGUUACAAAAACGUUGAGAUGUCCAUUAUGAUUGACAUGAUAUAAGGCGCCGCGUUUUUUCCAUUCCAUCGUGUUCCAAUUUGAAGAAUCUAGGCAAUUUGAAGCCAUGCUUUUCUUAAAAAAGCUUCAAAUUGGUUGUUAAUGAGGUUAGGGUUUUCAAUUUGGGGAAGAAUGGGUGAAGAUUGAAGAAGAGUGAUGAGGAAUGUGAUGGGGUAGUAUUGGAACACAUUGGAUAGGCCAGAACAUGGCGUUUUAUGCCACAUCACAUAUUUAACGGACAAUUAAACUUUAUUGUAACGGAGGUUGACUGAAAGGGUAACGACGUAAGCUUUUAAUAAUUUAAAGAACCAAUCUAAAACUUUAAAAAUUUAAAGGACUGAUCCGGUACAAACGUAAAACUUAUCUCAGGAGAUAUUUGACCUUUAUUUUAUAUAUGUUGUUUUGCAUUGAAAUUUGAGUGGUCUUGGAGGAGAGAAAAACAAAAAAGAAAAAUAAAUAGUAGAUGCAAUCAAUAAUUUUGUUAGUCCAAAUAAUAGUUUUCUUUAAAAAUAAUAUCGUCCAAACUCAUACAAUUAAAAAUAGUAUUCAAAUUUUAUGUCACGUCACAAUGAGAAAAAAUAGCCCAACGACCUUGUUUUACACAUCAUCAUCAUCAUCUAAUGGCCUAUCUAAAGUCUAAACUAUACAUCUUCUUUUCCUAUAAAUACAAGAGUGAACUCCACUAAUAAAUCACACAGGCAAACAAUUAACUUCUUAAUAGUUUGUUAUUUCAUACAUUAAUUAGAAAUUUAUAAUUCAUUAUCAUCAUGGGUGUCUUCAACUUUGAGGAUGAAACCACAUCUAUUGUAGCUCCUGCUAGACUUUACAAAGCUUUAGUUACAGAUUCUGAUAACUUUAUCCCGAAUGUUAUUGAUGCCAUCCAAAGUAUUGAAAUUGUUGAAGGAAACGGUGGCGCCGGAACCAUCAAGAAACUUACUUUCGUUGAAGGUUUUUAUUUUUAUUUUUUUAUUAUAAGUAAUCUAAUGGUUAGAAAUCUUAAUUCUUAAUACUUGUUUUUCAUAUUGUUUUACGAUAAAAAACCUGAAAAUACACAUAUAUGUUUUUGGUAGAUUACUCUCAACACACACGUAUAUCAAAACUUAUAUUUGCAGUUUCAACAGUAAAACAAUAUCGGAAACAAGUAUUAAGAAUAAGGCUUAAUUGCAGGUCUGAUCUCUUAUGUUUACUUUAGUUUUUAAGUUGAUCCUUUAUGUUUUAAAAGUUUUAAGUUGGUCUCUUACGUUUUAAAAGUUUUAAGUUGGUCCAAAACGUUACUCACGUUGGAAUAAGUUAGUCCCUCCAGUCACUUAACGUUUAAAGAUCCAUGUUGACAAUAUGGGUGAUGAAACUUAACUUAUUUAGAAAAUCAAUUUUAAAACAUUUUUUAUUUUUUUUUGUUUUAUUAAACUCAAUAUCAUGUCGCGGAAGGACUAACUUUAUUCCAAUGUGAGUAACAUUUGGACCAACUUGAAACUUUUAAAGCGUAAGGGACCAACUUAAAUCUUUUAAAACAUAAGAGAGUAACUUGAAAACUAAAAUAAAUAUAAGUGAUCAAACAUGCAAUUAUAAGCCUAAAAAUUAAGAUAUAUAACAUAAAUAGCGGAAGUCAACAAAACACAUGAGAAUAUUCUUUUGAUGACAUCAUUACUAGUAUUUUUUUUAAAGAAAUCAUUACCGGUAUAUUAUUACAUCAUAGAUCUUAUCUUCGUGAGUUUAGCUCAGUUGAUAGAGACAAUGUAUAAUAUAUGCAAAGACCGAAGUUCAAACAUCAGUCACCAUAAAAAAAAAAUUAUGGAUCUUGCUAACAAGUGCCCUAAAAGCAUUGUUUAAAGAACCCACAAAAAUAAAUUUUGUCUUGAAAAUAUAAGGCAAACACAUGUAAAAAUCAUAACUAUACAAUUUUCAAUAUAAAAAUUACUAUUUUUGAAUGCUUAAAUAGUGCCCUAAGAACACUUAUUAACAUUUUUCUGAUAUUAUAUGUGCUUAAUAGAGAUCUAAUGUCGGUGUCUCAUAAGUCAUAGCUCAACUGGCAAAAAUACCGAAAUUGUUAUGCCGGACGUCAUGACCGGGGUUCGAACCUCAAUACCUCCACUUUGUGUGUGUGAGUUUAUGGUGGCUUUGCCAUCUCUUCUAUAUACCAAAAAAAAGAGAUCUAAUGUCAGUGUAAAAUUAUUUUACCGUGACAAUUAUGACAAUUCACCAUACUACCAAAUUAGCCUAUUUAGUAACCCUUUUUCAAUACUUGAUAGAAAAACUCUUUUUUGAAAGUAACCACCAUAUGUUACUCUUGUGGAUUGGAUUAUUUGUUACUAUGUUUUUUAUAUAAUUAUUUUUUUGUGAGAAACAUAAUUUUUUUUUAAAUUAUUUCGGCUUAAAUACAAUUUUGAUGCCCCUAUUUUUAAAAUUGUUAAUUUUUGAUACCUUUAUUUUUAAAAUCUGUUUUUUAUUCAAUUAUUUAAAAGGCUUAAUAGCAGUUUUAGCCCUUAAAUAUUACGAAGUUAAGAUUUUGUCCCCUAACAAAAUAAAAUACAAUACAUCCCCGUAAGUACUGCCCUUUUUGUAGUUUUGGCCGCUCAGACCAAUUUUGACCAAGUCAUUACUUAUGUAGACGCAACGUGUGUAUUUUUUUUAAUUAUUAAAAAAUAAUUAAAAUAAUAAUUUUUUUAUAAAAAAAAUUAAAAAAUUGAAAAUUAUACACGUGACGUCCACACAGCAUUUACUUGGUCAAAAUUGGCCUGAGGGGCCAAAACUGCAAAAUGGCAAUACUUAGGGGGAUGGAUUGUAUUUUAUUUUGUUAAGGGGCCAAAAUCGCCUAAUACUUACGGGGCCAAAACUGGUAUUAAGCCUAUUUAAAAAGUCAACAAAAUAUUUUGGUUUCAUUCCUCUCUGAAUGAUGUGGCAUGUCCAUUAAUGACAUGAUGUUUGUGAUUGAACUAAGUGAUUUCCAUGAUGUUUAUGAUUGUGAAACGAAUCAAUUAUGCGCAGGUGGUGAAACAAAGUAUGAUUUGCACAAAGUGGACUUAGUAGAUGAUGUUAACUUUGCUUACAACUACAGCAUAGUUGGUGGUGGUGGACUUCCAGACACAGUGGAGAAGAUCUCCUUUGAGUCUAAAUUGUCUGCAGGGCCAGAUGGAGGAUCCAUUGCAAAGCUUACUGUGAAAUACUUCACCAAAGGUGAUGCUGCACCUAGUGAAGAGGAAAUCAAGGGUGGAAAAGCUAGGGGUGAUGGUCUUUUCAAGGCUCUUGAAGGUUACGUUUUGGCAAAUCCUGAUUACUAAAGCAUAUAGCUAAUUGCUUGCUUGCUUUAUACACGGUGUGUUGUGAUGCAUUUUAUUAUAUCAUGUGGGCUUGAUUUGGUUGACAAAUGUAAUUUUCUAUUUUCUUUUGCUGAAGUUUGAGAUUGUAAGUCAUAUAUGUGUACCUCCUUUCAAUAAAUUAUAAUAAUACUUCAUCUAUUCAUUUUUACUUUUUUUUAAAAAAAUGUAUGUAACUAUUUAUUUGUUGUUUUUGUUAUGAAUAAUAUUAAUAAUAUAACGUGGAUUUCCAUUGUCCAUAAGCUUUCUAUAACUCCUAUGUUUUAGUCAUAUGACUCUUCAUACACUUAUACAAAAGUUCUCAUCUUUUCUAUUUUUGAUCUUAUCAUUUAGUUUAUUUUCUAUGAAAAGUUGAUAAUAUGAGGAAAUGAGUCUCACAUUUGGGGAUAUAUGUGAAUCAAUACACAUAAUGAUCAUGUGGACCUGAUAUAUAUUUUAUAACUUCAAUAGAUGCAUAACUAAAUGGUCACAUGUAUGUUUAGUCUCUACUCAAAACUAAAACUCUAUGAGAUUAUUUGAUCAACUAAUUUGAUUAAGAUCUCACUCGCUUUGUUUAAUAAGUGUUGAAUGUACAUGAGAAUUGGUAUUGAACAUAUAGUUGCAUAUGUUCAUGUAUACAUACGGGCUUGAAUAUCCAUUCAUUAGUUGUCUAAUGUUAAUUGUAUGAUCAAUAGCACUUUUGAGAUCAUAUCUAAUGUUACUUGAGAAUAUGAAAUCUUUCAUUUUGAGACAUCACUUCACAUCCAGCCAACAAGUUAUCAUAUGUAAGUCAUCCCCUAGUUCACAAUGAAUUUGAUUUUUGGUCUAUAAACAUAAUAUUUCCCAUAUAAGCAUUUUUGGAUGUGUUUGAUAUGUUUCAAUUGCUCCAAUAUAAUGCACUUAAAUGGGUCGUAUGAGAAUAUUGAGAAGCUAUUAUUGAUAUGAAUCUCAUCUAUUAUAAAAUAUCUUGAAUACAUAAUUAGAGAUUAAUUAUAGCUUAAUAUAUUGAUUAUCAAUUGAUAAAUUAGUUUUCUCAAUAUUAGGGGGAGAAAAUAAACAACUGAAUAUAUGAACCAUAAGUUCAAAUGGAUAUAAGAAGUUGAGUAUAUGAACCAGAAGUUCAAAUGAAUAAGAAUUGAAUAUAUGAACCUGAUGUUCGAAUGAAUAUAAACAGCUGAAUAUAUGAUCUAGAAGUUCAAAUGAAUUGAUUGAAAUAAAAAAGUAUGAUUAUCUCACCUUGAUCCUCAUAUAAAUCAGUGUAAACCAGAAGUUUAAAAUACGAUUUAUUUGCAAAGUUAAACAAACAAAAUAUCAACUACUAAUAAUCCAAUCAAAAUAGAUCAUGUCUCAUUUGAACAAUCUAACUUAAUGAAAAGAUGCAUUUUUAUGCAAAAUUAAACUAGCUUUGCAAAACGAAUGGUUUUUGGUGCAGUAGUCCAUGUAUGGAAGAUGUGAAAAUAAAAUGAGAAUCAUGAAUUAUUUAAUUAUAAAGUUGGGCACAUUGUUCAAGAGUAUUGAUGAAAACCAACUAUUAAUUUUGAAGAGAUCUAUUAACUAUAAAGUGAAUUCAAGUACAUUAUCAACUUGAUUAAGUCUAGCAUCACUUGAAAGCAUCAAUCUAUAUAUGAAGUACAUGUUACAAUAUAUUUAUAUGACUCACUUGGUAUUUUUAUAUAAAAUUUCCCGAAGGAAUUAAUUUUAUUGCGACAUACAAUUCAUAUUCUCAAGGAGAUUACUUAAUCAAAUCGAAAUAUAGAAAUGUGUUGAGUAAUAUUCUUAAUGAAUAUUUUCUAAAAAAGUGAUAUAAAAAUGAUACCAUUUGUACAUUUCUAAAUAAACCUGAGAACUCGUAGAGAAUUUUUGAAAGUUGAUUUAUUAAAGAAAAAAUAUUGAGAUGAAAUAUGUAGAAAGGGUCAAUAUUUAUUUGAGAUUACAAGUUGAGUAUUUGAAGAGUAACACUUUUGUUAAUCAAGAAGCUUAUACAACAAAGUGCUAAAAUCUUUAUAUAUGGACAAAUCUGUAGAUGUAACACUUAAAUCUCUUUGAAGAGUAACACUCAAAUGGUUGAAAAGUCACUGGAUGUAGACAAAGAUAUAGUUUGAGAAUUCGAGUAAAUUAUGAAGAACUAGUUGGUUCUAAAAUACCAUAUUGUAUUUUAAUUAAAGGACAAUAAUGUACCUUGAUAAUUAUUCAUGUUAUCAUAUAUUAUUUUUAUUUUAGAUAUGCAUGUUAUUUGUUUGAUCCUCAAUAUUAAUGUGCUUGAUUGAGGUUUAUGAUUGAACACAUAGAAGAAAAUUUGUGGUUUGUCUUUCAGAAAAAUGAGCAACAAUAAUUUAUGAAUAUAAUACCAUGUGCAUUAAUUGUUCAGUUGAAAGGAUAUAUUCUUCAGAAGAACGAUGAUAUACAUAAUCAACAAAUUUUUUCGUGUGAUAAUCUUGUAGACGUUUUCAUAAAGUCACUCCCAAGCAUGAAUUUUGAACAACUAAUACAAAAAAUUGAUCUUCAUCAUCUUGGAGAUGAUUGUUUGGAUGAAGGAGAGAUAUAAAUAUAUUCUGCACUCUAUUUUUCUUCACCAUGGUUUUGUUCCACUGAGGUUUCCUGGUAAUAUUUUUAAUGAGACAAAUAUAUUAGAUAUUGUACUCUUUUUCCUUCAUUAUGAUUUUUUUUUUCUGUCCUUUUCUUAGUAAGGUUUUAAUGAUGCAUAUCCUUCAUGAACAUCUAAAAGGGAGUAUUAUGAAUAAUAUUAUUAAUAUAAUAUGGAUGUCCAUUAUCCAUAAGCUUUCUAUAUUCCUUAACUCCUAUGAGUAAUGACUUUACUCAUUACAUUUGGCAUUUAGUCCUAUGAGUCUUUCAUACACUUGUAACUCAGGACAUUUAUAAGAUUUAUAUUCAAUGUAAAGAAUACACUUAAAAAGAGAAUAAUACAAAAACUUUCAUCUUCUCUAUGUGCUUUGAUCAUCUUCUCUAUUUUUUUUUUUUUCAUCUUGUCAUUUAGUUUAUUUCAUAACAGUUUUGAAAUUUGAAGGUUAUACUCAUCAAAUUUUUAGACUGAGAUAUCAUGGCUUACCAAAAAAUAAUUGAACAUAACACAACCCAUUCUCCAUAAAACAAUUCUCGCACAAUCUUUCCAUUCCAACAAACCCUAUGGCUUUUUUUCAAAAAAAAAAAACCCUAUGGAAAAAGUAAAAAAAAAAAAAACGAGGCAAUCUUGAGAACAUAAUGGGUCUCCCAACUUUUACUUCUAAUGUCUCAGAUGAAUGACUACCAGUAACACACGAUUAAGAUCACAUAAAUUAAUCACUGAUUAAUAUUUUAAGAGAAGUUUAUUGCCUAGAUCUUGAUCGUACCCGUCGUGGGUGUUGUUAAGAGUUAAUUUCAAUCUCCAUGAAAAUGUAAACUAAGCUUGCAAUGUGCAGAGGCUUGAAGAAGACAAUGAAAAAGAGAGAAAGAAAAUUUUAUUAUUCAACAAUCUAAGUAUUACAAUGAGGUGAUAUAGCUUUAUAUAAAGUGUAAUUAACUACUAUAACCUAUAGCUACUAACAAAAUAUAACUAACAUAUCUAACCAAUUGCAAAACAGUUACAAUUGGUUAGAUUAGCUUAGUUGUCAACAGUUACUUGUAGCACAAGUAACCACUGCAAUACAAUGUGAAUUAGGCUUUAACAACCCCCUCAAGUUGGAAUAGAUGUUAAUUGUUCCAAGCUUGGUCUGUAGAGUGUUGAAAGGGCCAGGAUGAAGAAGCUUGGUUAGAAUGUUAGAAAACUUGAUCCUACAUUCCUUUUGUCUAUUUUUUUUUUGUAUAUUAACAUCCUUUAACUAAUUAAGACUAAUUACUGUUAUAGAGUAAUCAAUAUUGUUGGUUAGAUUGAGUUAGUUAAACUAGUAGUUAGUUAGUUUUUCUAACUGUUACUUACAAUGUAAGUAACUGAUGUUGAUUGAAGUUAAUUGUUAUACCUGCUAUAUAAAUCAAUUACAUUUAACUCUAACUCUCAAGAAUGUCAAUAAUAUUUUGAUACACAUUAAGUUAGGAGAAGGGACAAAGUACAUUCAUAAAAACAAAACAUCACCACAUAAUAAAGGUAACCAAACUAAAGUUUAUCAUCAAUCCACCUAAUAGUUACCAACAUAAAGUUGUCUAAAAUAUAAAAGACCAUGAUAUGUUUGAUCUAACAAAAGAUACCAAAAAGCAACCAAGCUAAAGUUCAUCUAUCUUGUUGUUGAUGUUAUCACCCUCUCCUUCCUGUUGAAUUGAAGUGUUCAUAUUAGGCACAAUAUUCCCAAUAAUUUGCUUCAAGCGCUCCAUCUUCUGUCUUAGUGUUUCUUGUUCAAGAUUUUUCUUUUUAAGUUCAACGGUUAAUGCUUCAAUUUUAGCCCCCAUAACAGCAACUUUUUCUGAAGAAACUACAUCGGUAGAAAUUGAAGGCGAUGGUCUCAAAGAUUCUUUGAAAACAACAACUUGAGAUCCUAAUUUAAGUAUGUUCUCCUUCUUGUUAAUGCCUCCAACAAUUUCCAUAUAAAUACCAUUGUCAAUUUCUUUAGUAGGUUGUUGACUAAUAAUCUCACCACUUUGAGACUGUUUCUCAAACAUUUGAGUUUUGUACAUUUCCUGCAAAAAAGAGUUACUAUUAGUAACAUAAUUUAGAUUUAUGAAAGAUAACAAAAAAAGACUGAUGUAUACAUACAUCUAUCUUCGCUUGUGUUUCAUUAAACCACUUUUUGGUCUAUGAAGUUUUCGUAUAGCUCAAACCUUGUUGGUUCUCUAUCUAAUUCCACUCUCUAAAACAUAACCAACAUACAACAAGUUAGUAUAAACAUAUUUAAAUUGUAAUUUAAAGAAAAAUAAUUACUAACCAUUUUUUUCCUUUCUAUUCUAGCAGAUAUGGAUCCUCCACUAUGAACACUGUGUCCAACUUUAGAUUGCCUAUUUUGUUUAUUAGUCAUGGAAUAUUUUCGCCAUUUCUCUUCUUCCCAUUUAGCCUUCAAUUGUUUCAAGUUGUUUAUUAGUGAAGGAAUAGAAACAGAAGUUCCUUCUCGUUGUUGUUGCUUGGCUAAUUGCUUCUUCUUCCGGGCUGUUCUUUCGAUUUCAGAGUGAAAGAGUAAUUAAUCUUCCAGAAACAAGUUAGAAACACGACUGAUAAUAUAUAUACAAGAAGGAACUUCUUUUAUAUAUAUAUAUAUAUAUAUAUAUAUAUAUAUAUACACACAAGAAAUUAAUAUGUACAAAAUUGAUUAAAACAAAAAUUCUUGCUGCAAUGCUUAUGAUAUCUUAAUGUCAGUCCCUGGAAACGGUACCAUUUUGAUGUAGUAUCAAAAGUAAGUAUGUAUUAGUAUCAUAUCUAUAGGGACUAGUGCGAUAUUCGUAAGCCGUUCAACAAUUUUUUAUCGUUUUAAGUUAAGGUUUUGUAAAAUUGUUUGUUGCGAAAACCUAAUCGGACUAUAAUGCGAUAAAAUAAAAUUGAGUUAGACAGAGGAUUAAAGCUGUUGGGGUUAGACUUCAUUAAGAAAAUGUCGCAUAUAUUCUCUUAAUCAAGCAUAUAGAUUCUAGCUAUAAAUCAAUAUAUUAUCAUGUUUCACUCGACAACAUCAAUUAUGUCUAAGUAAUAUCGUGAAUUCAAUCGUAUUGUUUAGUCGACAAUUUCUCGGCCUAUUAAACAAUACAAUAACAUGAAGAGUUGAUACUUAAGUGAUUAUCAAAACCUAAAACCAUUUCUAGUAUUUAGGGGUUCAAUAGAUUAUUAUCCUAUGUGUAGAUUCAAAAGAUAUUUCUCAAUAACAUUUCAAAUCAUAAAUCAAGCAUGAAUAAAUAAUAUCAAUAUCAAUAAACACUAGAAUCAUAUAUUGCUUAAGAUCAAAGAGAAUACAUAGUGAGUUUGUUAAUUACAUUUUUAUUGUCAUGGUAGCCUUACAAAAUUGGAAGAAAUGUGUGGAAUACUUAUCAAGAUGUUGAUUUCUCAAUUGAAUCUUGUUGAAUCCACCUUAUAACACUCUUGCUUUGUGUUUCUCUCUAAGAUUCGUUCUUGUUUCUCCCUAAAAGUACAAGUUAUCUUUGGUUGGAAAUGAAUGAGCGGCUUUUAUACUUUUUCUGAUAAGUGCCUGCUCGCCGAGUGAAGGGAGGCUCUCCAUGGCGUAAGACAUAGAAAGCAUAAAAUGACUUAUUCAUUAUUUUUGAGCUUUUCAUGAGAUAAAUUGUAAAACAAGUAACCAAAGUGUCUAAAAUAUAAAUGAUAUUUAAAUACUUUCUGACACUUAUCACGUACAUAAACGAUAAGAUACAUUUUAUUUCAAGUUUUAAGUUUUUAUGAAUUUAAAAAUAAAAUAAAAGAAAAUAAAGCAAUCGUUAGCGACGGAUUUAAAGACAAAUAUAUCUAGAGACAACAUUAGCGACGGUCUUUAGAGACGCAUGUAGGGACCAAUGUUGUUAGAGACGGACAACUGCAUUUCCAUCUCUAGAUUUUGUCUCUAAACAACUUUUGUAUGCACUUAUCUAACAUAGUAUCUCAUUAGAGACGGAUUUUUAGACGGAUAGUAAUCAACGACAGAAUGUUCCAUCACUAAAAUCCGUCUCCACACACAUCAUCAUAUUCCGUCUCCAAAUUAUAAAUUUCCGUCUCAUCUUCCGUCUCUGCUAGAGACGAAGUGUUUCCAUCUCUAAAUUCCGUCGGGAUAUCAAUUUUUUUUUUUUGAAGGAGCUUAUCAACUUUUUUUAGUAGUGCAAUAAAGAUCAAACGUAAAAAGUAAUAUGUUUGCAAAGAAUAAAAACUAAAAUCAAAACUUUUGAUAUUGAUGAUGACCAUUUGUAUAUUUAAAUUUAAAAAUAAUAAUUAGAGAGAUUGCAAUAUUUGGUCAAAGCUGAAUACUAGCAGUACUAUUAUAAGAGAACUUCUUAUUUGGGUUUGCAUUAUUUGAUCGUGCGAAGCAGAAAGCUAUGUCAUUCAACCAAAGAGUACACAUAUUUUGAAUUUAUUGAUGUAUCCUGUCUGGUUCUUUGAAUGCUUCCAACUCAAUUUUUGACCAGUUCACAAUUUUUUUCUUUCGUUUUUCAGAUUCACGUUAAAAUAAUGGGUUAUUAAUGUUUUACCUUCGUAAUAUAGACCAUUUUUAUUUUCCCUUGUAAUUUUUUUUUAGAUUCUAUCAUUGUAAUUUAAAGAUAUUUUGGUUUUGUCCCCGUAAAAUCUUUAUGACAUCAAAUUAUAAAAUUUAUGGCAAUUUGUCCCUUGUAAUAUGAUUAAAUUUCGGUUUAACCCUAUGCAAUUUGAACAAAUUUUGGUUUACUUCCAUGCCAUAUCAUGAAGGUUCAAAACCAAAAAUUUUCAAAUUACAAUGACGAAAACCAAAAAAAAUAUUUAUAGAGAAGAAAACCGAAAAUAACCUGAACCCCGAACAUGACAAAAAAAAAACUACUAUUUAACCCUAAAAUAAACUCAGCUUGAUUUUUUUUUUUUUUAAUAUUGAGUUAUAACAUUGAUGAUUUAGUUUGUAUAUAUCUUUUAAUUAAUCAUUCUCUCUUUCUCAAAAAUAAUUUAUUUUAGGGUUAAUUAAGUUUUUAGUUCCUAUAAAUAUUCACAGUUUUGUUUUUAGUCCCUACAAAAUAAAAUCACACUUUUUAGUCCCCGUGACAUUAUCCUUAAGCAUUUUAGGAACCAAAAUUGUUGAUAGAAAUUUUUGACAAGGACUAAAACUGUUGAUGGAAAAAUUUUAUAGGGAUUAAAAAUGCUGAUGGAAAAUUUUACAGGAAUUAAAAAGUGUGAUUUUAUUUUGUAGGGACUAAAUACAAAAUUCUGAAUAUUUAUAGAGACCAUUUACUUAAUUAACCCUUUAUUUAAAUCAUUCAUCAAAAUACACUAAAAUCAUCAGUAUCACAAAAACUCAAUAUCGUCCAAAUAUUUUCCCACAAGUAUAAUUUUUUUAUUUGCUUUUAGACUAAUGGCCAACAUACACGUACAUACUCUCAAUAAAACGUGCUUGAAGAGAAUGAAAUGCAGUGACAUGAAUUCAAACCCAAAAUUCCGCAUAAAAUAUCAUCACAACCAAACCACAAUGCUACAACAAACACAUAUUUUAGAUUUUAAUUAUUCCAGUGGUAUAUCAAAAAAAUGUAUAUCAAUGUCAUCCUAUUUUCUUAUUAUUUUAUGGAACCCUUCUUUUAUUUAUCAAUUUCAACUUUCAAGUUAAUAAUAAACACAUGCAAAUAAUUUUUUUCUAUAAAAUUUAAAAAGCAAUAUUAAUAGUACAUAUUAUCUCCCUCAAAAAAAAUAGUAGAUAUUAUCAAAAUUCAUAUCCCAAUGUGAAUAAAAAAUGGCCCAAGGACCUGGUAUUAGUCAUCAUCUUCCUCUAACGUGCCAUCCAAUAACAUCUUCAGUUCCUCCUAUAAAUACCAUGCUGAACUUCACUUAUAAACCACAGCAAGGCAAGCAACUUCUUCAUUAUUUCUUUCUUACACUAGCAUUAUAAUUCAUCAUGGGUGUCAUCAAUUUUGAGGAAGAAACCACCUCUGUUGUAGCUCCAGCUACACUUCACAAAGCUUUUGUUACAGAUGCUGACAACCUUAUCCCAAAGGUUAUUGAUGUCAUCAAAAGUAUUGACAUUGUUGAAGGAAAUGGUGGCGCCGGAACCAUCAAGAAACUCACUUUCGUUGAAGGUCAGUAUAAAUAUAUUUGUUAUAUCUCUUAUAAGCAAAUCUUACAAUUAUUAAGAUUUAGGGUUUAUUAGGGUUAUUUUAGACGUAAGUUGCACCGACACUUCUGAUUGAAGGUGUGUCUUGACGUCCGACAUCACGACACUUGUGAUUACAUUGAAUUAUGUCAUUUUCUUAAAAUUUUAUCGGCGUCGAUGUGUCCGUGUUGUGUCUGGUGUCUGUGCUUCAUAGUUUUAGACAAAUUCUUGUACCAAUUUUUAAAAACCUAAAUAUAUCAAGUAAUAAUGGUCAUGAUAUUAAUAUGAUUGUGAGAUGAAUCUAUAUAUGACAUGCAGAUGGUGAAACCAAGUAUGAUUUACACAAAGUGGAGUUAGUAGAUGAUGCUAACUGGGCUUACAACUACAGCAUUGUUGGAGGUGAUAGUCUUCCAGACACAGUAGAGAAGAUUUCAUUUGAAGCUAAACUGUCUGCAGGUCCAAAUGGAGGAUCCAUUGCAAAACUUAGUGUGAAAUACUUUACAAAAGGAGAUGUUACUCCAAGUGAAGAGGAACUCAAGAGUGGCAAAGCUAAGGGUGAUGGUCUUUUCAAGGCCCUUGAGGGUUACUGUUUGGCUAAUCCUGAUUACAACUAAAGCAUAUAAUUAAAUGCUUAUUCAUGGUGUGAUGUGACACAGGAUAAGCUAUAUCCAGUUUGCUUAAUUUGGGUACCAAUGUAAUUCUCUAUUUUUCCCCCUUUCCUUUUGGUAAGGAAGUUUGAGUGUGAGAUUGUAAGUCAUGAGUGCCUCCCUUCAAAACAUUGUCAGCUUUUUUUAAUAAAGAGAUUGUUACUAUUUAUAUAUGUGGCUUUAAAAUUAUAAGGUUAUAGUUAUAGUAUUAACUUUUUUUCGUGUCAGAAAAAAGUUAAAAAUAGACUUUUGUUACGGUAAUUUAUAAGGUUAUAAUAAUUUUAUAUUUAUAUUAUUGAAGAGAGUACAUUAAUUAGACUCAAGUGAUUAGUGACCUUUCUCUCAAGAAGAAUUGUUCUAGAGAACCCGAUUUUAUUUUUGGUAAGAAUAAUUUUUGGUCAAACUUUAUUCUUCUUCCUAUCAAACUCUGGAUUACUAAUACCCCUUUCUCGAUGAAUUUGAAAGUUAAGAUAAAAAAAGUGUAAUUAUGUGAGUGAGUCAUUAUUAAAAGGUGAAAGUAUAUUCGGAAUCUGUUUAUUAAUUAAUAAAACUCAUUGUAGAUUUUAACCAAACAAUUGAGUUCAAGAGGUUAAUGAGUAUCCAACUAAUGAAUUGUUUAGUCGAAUCUGAGUUCGACUCUUGGGUAUAACUAUUCUUGGUCAUACUCUAUUUUCUUCCCUGCAGAACUCCAGAUUAUAUCUAGGAAACGAAGGGUUACACAAAAAAUAUAAACUCUUUGUAUGUUUCAACAUAAUAACGUUAAAAAACAAGAAGUAUAUAACAAUGAAGGGAGGAGACUUUUGAAUAAUAAUUGUAGUACUUUUCCUUAUAUCUAAGAUCAAGGUUGUCAAAAUUGAAUUUUGUUUCAAGUGGAAAGGGAAGAGUAAAAUCGAAAAUCGUAAAAUCGUAAUCAAAAUUGAAGGAUAUUAGUCAACUAUUUUUGUAGAAUCUAUAUAAGAAAUCGUAAAAUCGCAAUCAAAAUCGAUGGAUUUUACCAAAACAAAAAUAAUAUUAAAUAUAUGUUAUAAAUGACUCAGUUUAAUCUCCAAGUCUUUCGGAGAGCACUAAGG
rnacentral:lncRNA from 1 species